AUGUCGACCCCCUCCGGCCCCGGGGAAGCCGACGGAGCCACGCCCGCUGCCUCUACGUAUUACGACGUCUUCGGCCCCGACGCUAAACCUGAUGUUAUUUUUAAGGAGGCCACUUCAGAUUCCACAUUGAAUCUGCAGGAUGUCCAGGGGCUAGUAACUUGGGUUAUUGGUGAAGGCAUGCCGCCUUCAUGGGUGUUUGUUAAAAACAAGCCUCUUAUCCCAAAAGUUAUCCUUCUCUAUGUUCCUGGCCUCGAUGCAGCUUUAUACAUGUCUCAGUCCCGCCUCCUGUCUUCUUUGAAAGAAUUGUGUGGCAAUCCAAAACCUGUUCUAGCUUCAAGUUGUGUACCAGAUGAAAGGCAUACCAUUGACGCACUCCUGACAUGCAGAGUAAAGCGAAAGCGGCAGUCACAAACAUCAAACCAACCAUCUGAAUCUGAUGGAGGUAAAUUAUCAAGUCUGGCGGACCUAAAAGAUAUACCAUUUCCUGUUAAAUAUUACACACUUUCUAAAAAGGAUUUGGAAGAUAAUGGCUACUCUCUCAAUUUACCAGGUUUUGUCCCUACGAUUGCAGCUCCUUCAGGCUCUUCCCCAUAUGAAAUUCUCGCUCUUGAUUGUGAGAUGUGUGUGACAGCAGCUGGAUUUGAACUUACAAGAGUGACAUUAGUCGAUAUUAAAGGAGAGGUGAUACUGGAUAAACUAGUCAAGCCUACCAAUCCAAUCACUGAUUACAAUACAAGGUUUAGUGGAAUCACUGCUGAGAUGCUAUCCGAUGUGACAACAACCCUCCAGGAGAUUCAGGAAGAGUUUAUUGGACUUGUGUACAAAGAAACCAUUCUUGUUGGGCAUUCUUUGGAAAAUGACCUUUUGGCAUUACGGAUAUCUCAUGACUUGGUCAUCGACACUGCUGUUUUGUACAAAUAUAAUCGUGGCACCCGCUGCAAAAUUGCUUUACGUGUCCUGGCAAACAAAUAUCUUAGCCGGGUGAUCCAGAACACAGGGUCUGGGCAUGACAGCGUGGAAGAUGCAAGAGCUGCUCUGGAUCUUGCCUUUUUGAAAAUCAAAUAUGGUCCUGAUUUUGGCUCUCCACCGUCGUUUUCACGAAGAAAGUUGUCUUCCAUUCUGCAUGAAUGUGGGAAAAGGAGUUCCCUCAUUGAUGAAGUGUUUGUUCUUGACCGCUAUUCAGAUGCUUCCUGCAAUUCAAUUGCAGUUUUCUCAGAUGAUGAUGCCCUCUCCAGAUCAAUGAAAGAGGUAAAGAAUGACAAAAUCAGCUUUGUCUGGACUCAGUUUUCAGGAUUGAUCUCUUAUCUACGUAAAAGAGCUGAAAAUCCUGAAAAACUGAAAUCCUGUGUUGCGGAGGCUAUUGCAUUGAAAACCUGUGACAGAAAAACUGCCCGGAAAAGAGCAAAGCAAAUUUGUCCAGAGCUGAAGGCAAUUUUGAGUGAAUUGGACAAGAAAAUAAAAAAACUAUAUGAUACACUGCCUGAAAAUGCAAUGUUUAUUUUAUGUACCGGUCAUGGGGAUACUCCUUUGGUCCAAAGAUUAAAGAAAAUGCUCAACCAUGGAGAAGAAACAGUCGAUAGCCGGGAAAAUAUUGUCCAUGCAUUGGAAGAUUUACAGGCUCAAGCAGAAGUUGCUCUAUGCUUCUGCUGUGUCAAGCAUUAG
rnacentral:rRNA from 1 species